UACGUAGGGUGCAAGCGUUGUCCGGAAUUAUUGGGCGUAAAGAGCUCGUAGGCGGUCUGUCACGUCUGCUGUGAAAACUCGGGGCUUAACCCCGGGCCUGCAGUGGGUACGGGCAGACUAGAGUGCGGUAGGGGAGACUGGAAUUCACGGUGUAGCAGUGAAAUGCGUAGAUAUCGUGAGGAAGACCAGUGGCGAAGGCGGGUCUCUGGACAGUUCCUGACGCUGAGGCGCGAAGGCCAGGGGAGCAAACGGG
rnacentral:rRNA from 1 species